rnacentral:rRNA from 1 species
AUGAACGCUGGCGGCGUGCCUAAUACAUGCCAGUCGAGCGAAUGGACGAGAAGCUUGCUUCUCUGAUGUUAGCGGCGGACGGGUGAGUAACACGUGGAUAACCUACCUAUAAGACUGGGAUAACUUCGGGAAACCGGAGCUAAUACCGGAUAAUAUUUUGAACCGCAUGGUUCAAAAGUGAAAGACGGUCUUGCUGUCACUUAUAGAUGGAUCCGCGCUGCAUUAGCUAGUUAGUAAGGUAACGGCUUACCAAGGCAACGAUGCAUAGCCGACCUGAGAGGGUGAUCGGCCACACUGGAACUGAGACACGGUCCAGACUCCUACGGGAGGCAGCAGUAGGGAAUCUUCCGCAAUGGGCGAAAGCCUGACGGAGCAACGCCGCGUGAGUGAUGAAGGUCUUCGGAUCGUAAAACUCUGUUAUUAGGGAAGAACAUAUGUGUAAGUAACUGUGCACAUCUUGACGGUACCUAAUCAGAAAGCCACGGCUAACUACGUG